UACGGGGGGGGCAAGCGUUGUUCGGAAUUACUGGGCGUAAAGGGCUCGUAGGUGGCCAACUAAGUCAGACGUGAAAUCCCCAGGCUCAACUUGGGAACUGCGUCUGAUACUGGAUGGCUUGAAUUCGGGAGAGGGAUGCGGAAUUCCAGGUGUAGCGGUGAAAUGCGUAGAUAUCUGGAGGAACACCGGUGGCGAAGGCGGCAUCCUGGACCGGUAUUGACGCUGAGGCGCGAAAGCCAGGGAGCAAAGCGG
rnacentral:rRNA from 1 species